ensembl:snRNA U6 U6 spliceosomal RNA
CUGCUCACUUCAGCAACACAUAUACCAAAAUUGGAACCAUGGAGAAAAAAUUAGCAUGACCCCUGAGCAAAGAUGACAUGCAAAUCUGUGAAGCAUUCUGUAUUUUU